CCUACGGGUGGCAGCAGUGAGGAAUAUUGGUCAAUGGACGCAAGUCUGAACCAGCCAUGCCGCGUGCAGGAAGACGGCUCUAUGAGUUGUAAACUUCUUUUGUACGAGGAUAAACUCAGAUACGCGUAUCUGUCUGAAAGUACCGUACGAAUAAGGAUCGGCUAACUCCGUGCCAGCAGCCGCGGUAAUACGGAGGAUUCAAGCGUUAUCCGGAUUUAUUGGGUUUAAAGGGUGCGUAGGCGGUCGGAUAAGUUAGAGGUGAAAUCCCGAGGCUCAACUUCGGAAUUGCCUCUGAUACUGUUCGGCUAGAGAGUAGGUGCGGUAGGCGGAAUGUAUGGUGUAGCUGUGAUAUGCUUAGAGAUCAUACAGAACACAGAGUGCGAAGGCAGCUUACCAAGCUAAUUCUGACGUUGGGGCACGAAAGCGUGGGGAGCAAACAGGAUGAGAUACCCCUGUUC
rnacentral:rRNA from 1 species